UUAGCAUAUUAUCACGAGAAAGAACUAACAAGGAUUCCCCUAGUAACUGCGAGUGAAGAGGGAUGAGCUCAAUGUGUGAAUCGGGUCGGGAGGAACACCCAGCUCGAGUUGUGCACUAUAGACGGCGGAUCAGCGCUUGAGAGGCGGAGGUGGAUGUCCGAUGAAACUCGGUGCCAUUGAGGGUCACAGUCCUGUACUUGCCUUCUUGCCUCUCGCGCCUUUGACCGACGUUCUGCGAGUCGCGUAGUUUUGUAUUGCUGCGCUAAUUGGGAGGUAGAGCCCUUCUAAAGCUAAAUAUGAUGACAUGACCGAUAGCACACAAGUACCGCGAGGGAAAGGUGAAAAGCAACCAUGCAGAAUGGGUUGAAACAGAAGUGAAAGCGCUGCUGGGAUAAGGGCUGGGGAUUGCUUGUGUCGCGAGCAUGUGCUUUAGUGCUAUGCCUGUGAACGGCAUGCUUCCGUUCGGAUGGGGAGAACAGGGCCUUGGAAAUUCGGCCGGAUCCGUCCGGUGUUGUAGUCCAGGUGCCAAUGGAGCCUCUCCGGACGGUUGAGUGUCUUGCGAUUGUCAGCCGCCCGUCUUGAAACACGGACCAAGGAGUGCACCUUGCAUGCGAGUCGAAGGGACUGUAAUCCUGGAGGCGUAGCGAAAGCGAUGGCCACGAAUCCGUAGGGCGUCGGUGGCACCCGCCUUGUGCGAGGUAGAGCAUGUAGGGUGCGACCCGAAAGAUGGUGAACUAUGCCCGGGUAAGGUGAAGCCAGUGGAAACGCUGGUGGAGGCCUGUAGCGGUUCUGACGUGCAGAUCGAUCGUGAACCUGGGUAUAGGGGCGAAAGACCUAAUCGAACCAU
rnacentral:rRNA from 1 species